UACGGAGGGUGCGAGCGUUGUCCGGAAUCACUGGGCGUAAAGGGCGCGUAGGCGGCGCGGAUAGUCAACGGUGAAAGCUUGGGGCUCAACCCCGAGUCGGCCGUCGAUACUUCCUUGCUUGAGCACUGUAGAGGCAGAUGGAAUUCCGGGUGUAGCGGUGGAAUGCGUAGAGAUCCGGAAGAACACCGGUGGCGAAGGCGGUCUGCUGGGCAGUAGCUGACGCUGAUGCGCGACAGCGUGGGGAGCAAACAGG
rnacentral:rRNA from 1 species